rnacentral:rRNA from 1 species
GACGAACGCUGGCGGCGUGCUUAACACAUGCAAGUCGAACGGUGAAGGGACCGGUUUUUGCUGGUUCUGGAUGAGUGGCGAACGGGUGAGUAACACGUGAGUAACCUGCCCCCUUCUUCUGGAUAACCGCAUGAAAGUGUGGCUAAUACGGGAUAUUCUGCUCCUGCUGCAUGGUGGGUGUGGGAAAGAUAUUGUUUCGGUGGGGGAUGGGCUCGCGGCCUAUCAGCUUGUUGGUGGGGUGAUGGCCUACCAAGGCGGUGACGGGUAGCCGGCCUGAGAGGGUGGACGGUCACACUGGGACUGAGACACGGCCCAGACUCCUACGGGAGGCAGCAGUGGGGAAUAGUGCACAAUGGGCGCAAGCCUGAUGCAGCGACGCCGCGUGAGGGAUGGAGGCCUUCGGGUUGUAAACCUCUUUCGCCAGUGAAGCAGGCCUGUCCCUUUUGUGGGUGGGUUGACGGUAGCUGGAUAAGAAGCGCCGGCUAACUACGUG